rnacentral:misc_RNA from 1 species
ACGCAUUUGACUGAAAAUUAAAUGGCAACAAAGUCAUGCAACUACACAAUCAAAAAGCAGAAUAAAUAUUUAAUUUGCAAUUAAAUUGAAUUUAAUUCCUAAAAUUUCAGCAUAUAAACUGACUAUCCUAUUUACUUUCUAGAUUUCAAAGAAAUUUCAAAGUCCGUGCCAUCAAGUGCACUUCACUAUGUUCCUAAUCCUAAUCACCUGUAGCUAAAAGAACAUGAAUAGACUAUAUACAAAUUGGACGUCAAGCAAGCUGCAGCAAUACAUGCAGAUUACUUUGUUACUAUGAAUCUUUACAUAGGGAAGCCAUAGUUUUGGUAUCCCAUUGGGUGUUCCUGAUUAGGUAAAUGAUCUGCUUGGGGCAUCUCUUGCAAAACAGAGGGCUGGUUAGCAGGGGCGCCUAAAGGAGGGUUCCAAUUUUUAUUAGCUGGCACAGGAACUAAGUUGCUAUCGACAGUGGUAAUAUCAUGGAUGCUAGACCUCUUCCUCUCUUUCUUCACGGCAUUCUGCCGAAGAAAGUACUUCUGGGCAUGACUAGCUACCUGUGUUGGUGUUCUUGUCACCACCACAUUCCUUGAAAUGCUUCUCCAAUCACCCUUGCCAAAUCUUCUGAGUCCAAUUAAAAAUUUCCUGUGUUCUUCUUCCGUCCACGGUGUUCCUUUCUUUCUUUCGGCCUCGCCCAGCUUUGUUUUCUUGCCAAAUGAAAUCGACGCUGCCAUGUCCGAGUCCCAACUCGAGUCAAUAAAAUCAUCGCUGUAAUCUGGUAACUUUACGCGCCCCGAUUCAAUUUCGGCAAUAUCAUGAACCAGAACAUCGUAAUGCUCUGUCACUUCUUGCACCGAUUUUCCUAUAUGAUCAGCGAUUUUUUGCCACCGAUCAGGAGAAUUCUCCGGAAACAGAAUCAGUGCUUCCUCGAAGCGCUUAUCCUCGUAGCGAUUCCAACCAGGAAUCAUGGGGGAAGACGAUGAGUGGGUCAAAAUUGGACUGGACAAGCUGUCAUGAUUCAUUGUUCUUUGACAAAAGAUCGCUUUCCUGGAGAUAUCCUUUAUGAGUUUGGUGGGAGAUUUGAGCUGAGGUUUAUAUACGGAUGCGUUUGUAGUUAUCUGAAUGCUGAAGAGGUUUUGAAAUGUUGGAUUAG